CAGUCGCCGCGGGAAUACGUAGGUCCCGAGCGUUGUCCGGAUUUAUUGGGCGUAAAGCGAGCGCAGGCGGUUAGAUAAGUCUGAAGUUAAAGGCUGUGGCUUAACCAUAGUACGCUUUGGAAACUGUUUAACUCGAGUGCAAGAGGGGAGAGUGGAAUUCCAUGUGUAGCGGUGAAAUGCGUAGAUAUAUGGAGGAACACCGGUGGCGAAAGCGGCUCUCUGGCUUGUAACUGACGCUGAGGCUCGAAAGCGUGUGGAGCAAACAGGAUUAGAUACCCCCGUAGUCCCUGUCUCUUAUCAC
rnacentral:rRNA from 1 species